CUGUCUGUCCACCUGCCGCGCCCCCCGGGCUGAGGUAGGAGGUUGUAUAGUUGAGGAGGACACCCACGGAGAUCACUAUACGGCCUCCUAGCUUUCCCCAGGCUGCGCCCUGCACGGGACGCCCGGC
rnacentral:pre_miRNA from 12 species